rfam:Arabidopsis thaliana chromosome 3, complete sequence.
UGAUGCGAUCAUACCAGCACUAAUGCACUUGAUCCUAUCAGAACACCGCAGUUAAGUGUACUUGGGCGAGAGUAGUACUAGGAUGGGUGACCUCCAGGAAAGUCUUCGUGUUGCAUCCC